rnacentral:sRNA from 1 species
ACUCGCGCUGCCUCCGUGGUCCCUGCCUGGCUGAGGUGGCAGCAGGGGGCGGGACGCGCAGCGCUAUGGCAGAGGGCAGCGGGGAAGUGGUCGCAGUGUCUGCGACCGGGGCUGCCAACGGCCUCAACAAUGGGGCAGGCGGGACCUCGGCGACGACCAGCAACCCGCUGUCGCGCAAGCUGCAUAAGAUCCUGGAGACGCGGCUGGACAACGACAAGGAGAUGUUAGAAGCUCUCAAGGCACUUUCAACCUUUUUUGUUGAAAAUAGUCUGCGGACUCGAAGAAAUUUACGUGGAGACAUUGAACGUAAAAGUUUAGCCAUCAAUGAAGAAUUUGUAAGCAUUUUCAAGGAAGUGAAGGAGGAACUUGAAAGCAUAAGCGAAGAUGUUCAAGCAAUGAGCAACUGUUGUCAAGAUAUGACAAGUCGCCUACAGGCAGCAAAGGAACAGACUCAAGAUUUAAUAGUAAAAACCACUAAGCUUCAAUCUGAAAGCCAAAAAUUAGAGAUAAGAGCUCAAGUUGCAGAUGCCUUCUUAUCCAAGUUCCAACUGACUUCUGAUGAAAUGAGUCUUCUCCGAGGUACAAGAGAAGGACCCAUUACUGAGGGUCUCGCUCUGUCAACCUGGCUGGAGUGCAGUAGCACGAACACAGCUCACUG